rnacentral:rRNA from 1 species
AGAUACCCUGGUAGUCCACGCCCUAAACGAUGUCAACUGGUUGUUGGGAGGGUUUCUUCUCAGUAACGUAGCUAACGCGUGAAGUUGACCGCCUGGGGAGUACGGCCGCAAGGUUGAAACUCAAAGGAAUUGACGGGGACCCGCACAAGCGGUGGAUGAUGUGGUUUAAUUCGAUGCAACGCGAAAAACCUUACCUACCCUUGACAUGCCAGGAAUCCUGAAGAGAUUUGGGAGUGCUCGAAAGAGAACCUGGACACAGGUGCUGCAUGGCCGUCGUCAGCUCGUGUCGUGAGAUGUUGGGUUAAGUCCCGCAACGAGCGCAACCCUUGUCAUUAGUUGCUACGAAAGGGCACUCUAAUGAGACUGCCGGUGACAAACUGGAGGAAGGUGGGGAUGACGUCAGGUCAUCAUGGCCCUUAUGGGUAGGGCUACACACGUCAUACAAUGGCCGGGACAGAGGGCUGCCAACCCGCGAGGGGGAGCUAAUCCCAGAAACCCGGUCGUAGUCCGGAUCGUAGUCUGCAACUCGACUGCGUGAAGUCGGAAUCGCUAGUAAUCGCGGAUCAGCUUGCCGCGGUGAAUACGUUCCCGGGUCUUGUACACACCGCCCGUCACACCAUGGGAGCGGGUUCUGCCAGAAGUAGUUAGCCUAACCGCAAGGAGGGCGAUUACCACGGCAGGGUUCGUGACUGGGGUGAAGUCGUAACAAGGUAAC